rnacentral:lncRNA from 1 species
CCCAGCACUGCAAAAAAAAAAAAAAAAAGUGAAGAAAUGGGUCAUGGAGACCAAAAGCCCCAGCCUUGGUUCCUACCAAGGCCUAUAUGCCUGUUCACCAGGUGCAUGACACACUAAGUUUGUUGGGUUUUUUUCUGGGGGGGUGGCGGUUCUGGAGGAUUGAACUCAGGGACACGCAACCACUGAGCCAUAUAUCCCCAGCCCAUUUUUUUUGUAUUUUAUUUAUAG